rnacentral:rRNA from 1 species
UACGAAGGGGCUAGCGUUGCUCGGAAUCACUGGGCGUAAAGCGCACGUAGGCGGAUUGCUAAGUCAGGGGUGAAAUCCUGGAGCUCAACUCCAGAACUGCCUUUGAUACUGGCGAUCUUGAGUCCGGGAGAGGUGAGUGGAACUGCGAAGUGUAGAGGUGAAAUUCGUAGAUAUCUGCAGGAACACCCGUGGCGAAAGCGGCGCGCUGGACC